UUGAGCUCAGAUCAGGUAGGACUACCGCCUGAACUUAAGCAUAUCAAUAAGGCGAGGAACAGAAACCAACAGGGAUUCCUCUAGUAGUGGCGAAUGAAGCGGGAAAAGCUCAAGUUUGAAAUCUGGCGGGUGACCUCCAGAGUUGUAAGCUGAAGAGGCAUAGACCGACGCGGUCCGGGCUCAAUUUCCUUGGAACAGGAGGUCAUGGAGGGUGAGAACCCCGUCUGUGGCUUGGGUGCCGUCGUCCUUGUGUCUUGCCCUCGUAGAGUCGGGUUGUUUGGGAAUGCAGCUCAAAAUGGGUGGUAAAUUUCAUCUAAAGCUAAAUAUUGGCGAGAGACCGAUAGCAAACAAGUAGAGUGAUCGAAAGAUGAAAAGUACUUUGAAAAGAGAGUGAAACAGUACGUGAAAUUGUUGAAAGGGAAGCGUUUGGUAUCAGCCCAUGGCGUCCAUUGAUCAUUCAGGCUUCUGUCUGAUGCACUUGAUGGACGUCGGGUCAGCGUCGGCUUUGCCUGCCGGAGAAAGGUCUUGGGAAUGUGGCUCCCUUCGGGGAGCGUUAUAACCCUUGACGUCAUGCGGUGUGGUGGGGCCGAGGUCCGCG
rnacentral:rRNA from 1 species